rnacentral:lncRNA from 1 species
GCUUAAAGAUAAAACAAGGGAUGCCUUGACCCUACAGAUUUGUUCUCUGCAUUAUUGUAGAAGGGGACAAAACAGAAGGUACAAUCGCAACUGAUUAGAGGCAAACUUUUCUUCAGAAGUGGGCAGGUUAGCUAAGAAGUUUUUAAGAGAUAAGUUUCUCUACUUCUCCCUUUCUUAGGAAAAACAAACAAACAAACUUUUGGAAUUUGGAACCAGAAGGAUACUAGAUACCGGAUUCCUAAAAAAAGAAAGAAAGAAAGAAAGAAAGAAAGAAAGAAAGAAAGAAAGAAAGAAAGAAAGAAAGAAAGAAAGAAAGAAAGAAAGAAAGAAAGAAAGCUUUCCAAUGGCACCUUGAGGAUAGAGAAGAUCCAGAACAGGAAGGACAUGUCUGUCAUCUGUUUACUGCAGCAGGGAUUUGACACUUUAACAUCAUCCUGA